rnacentral:tRNA from 2 species
GGACGCGUAGCCUAGCAUGGAUAGGGCGACAGCCUCCUAAGCUGUAGAUCGCGGGUUCGAAUCCCGCCGCGUCCG